rnacentral:rRNA from 1 species
GGUCAAGUUAUUAAGGGUGCAGGGCGGAUGCCUUGGCACUAGGAGCCGAUGAAGGACGUGAUAAGCUGCGAUAAGCUUCGGGGAGUUGCACGUAAACUUUGAUCCGAAGAUUUCCGAAUGAGGAAACUCACUUAGAGUAAUGUCUAAGUAUCAUUAAGUGAAUACAUAGCUUAAUGAGGGGAACUCAGGGAACUGAAACAUCUAAGUACCUGAAGGAAGAGAAAGAAAUUCGAUUCCGUAAGUAGCGGCGAGCGAACGCGGAUUAGCCCAAACCAAUAAAGUUUUCUUUAUUGGGGUUGCGGACAUAUCAUAACGAAGAGGUAUCGUAAUUGAAGAGGUUUGGAAAGACCCACCACAGAAGGUAAUAGUCCUGUAUGUUAAACGAGAAGACUUUAGAUAUGAUCCAGAGUACCACGGGACACGUGAAACCCUGUGGGAAGCAGGAGGGACCACCCUCCAAGGCUAAAUACUACCUAGUGACCGAUAGCGUAUAGUACCGUGAGGGAAAGGUGAAAAGAACCCCGGGAGGGGAGUGAAAUAGAACCUGAAACCCUGCACUUACAAGCUGUGGAAGCACAUUUCUUGUGUGACCGCGUACUUUUUGUAGAACGGGCCAACGAGUUACGUUAAGUAGCAAGGUUAAGCACUUAAGGUGCGGAGCCGUAGCGAAAGCGAGUUUUAACUGAGCGUUCAGUUACUUGACGUAGACCCGAAACCGGGCGACCUACCCAUGAGCAGGAUGAAGCGAAAGUAAAAUUUCGUGGAGGUCCGAACCCACGAGCGUUGAAAAGCUCGGGGAUGACUUGUGGGUAGCGGUGAAAUUCCAAUCGAGCCCGGAGAUAGCUGGUUCUCCCCGAAAUAGCUUUAGGGCUAGCCUCAAGGUGAGAGAUACGGAGGUAGAGCACUGAAUGUCCUAGGGGGUAUUGCACCUACCGAAGACUAUCAAACUCCGAAUGCCGUCAUCUUAUACUUGGGAGUCAGACUGUGGGUGAUAAGAUUCAUAGUCGAAAGGGCAACAGCCCAGAUCGUCAGCUAAGGUCCCUAAAUGUAAGUUAAGUGGUAAAGGAUGUGGGAUUGCACAGACAACCAGGAUGUUGGCUUAGAAGCAGCCACUCAUUCAAAGAGUGCGUAAUAGCUCACUGGUCGAGUGAUCCUGCGCCGAAGAUUUCCGGGGCUAAAACUUACUACCGAAGCUACGGCAUCAGUAAUGAUGGGUAGGGGAGCUUCCCAUACGGGUUGAAGCAUGACCGUAAGGACAUGUGGACAGUAUGGGAGUGAGAAUGUUGGCAUGAGUAGCGAGAUGUGGGUGAGAAUCCCACAGGCCGUAAACCCAAGGUUUCCAGGGGAAGGUUCGUCCGCCCUGGGUUAGUCGGGACCUAAGCUGAGGCCGAAAGGCGUAGGUGAUGGACAACAGGUUGAUAUUCCUGUACUACCGAUAACCGUUUGAGAGAUGGGAUGACACAGUAGGAUAAGCUAAGCACACUGUUGGUUAUGUGUGCCCAAGCAUUGAGGCAGUCAAAGUAGGCAAAUCCGCUUUGAUAAUGCUGGGAUGUGAUGGGGAGCGAAAUUUAGUAGCGAAGUAGCUGAUUUCACACUGUCAAGAAAAGUCUCUAUCGAGGUUAAAGGUACCCGUACCGCAAACCGACACAGGUGGGUGAGGAGAGUAUCCUAAGGCCAGCGAGAGAACUGUUGUUAAGGAACUCGGCAAAAUGACCCCGUAACUUAGGGAUAAGGGGUGCCACCAUCAGGUGGCCGCAGAGAAUAGGCCCAAGCGACUGUUUACCAAAAACAUAGGUUUCUGCUAAGUCGCAAGACGAUGUAUAGGAGCUGACGCCUGCCCGGUGCUGGAAGGUUAAGGGGAUCUGUUAGAGCAAUCGAAGCAGUGAACUUAAGCCCCAGUAAACGGCGGCCGUAACUAUAACGGUCCUAAGGUAGCGAAAUUCCUUGUCGGGUAAGUUCCGACCCGCACGAAAGGCGUAACGAUUUGGG